ACGAUGGGUUUGAAUUUGUUUGAUUUACUUUUUUUGUUGGUCUCUCAGUUUUUCCAUGAUUAUACGGUGAUGGGUUUGAAUUUGUUUGAGCUCCAGUUUGUUGUUCCUGUUCAGAACUAAUCUAAGUAGUUUUCAAUUAACCUGGGUUCGGAUUUUGUGGUUUUCUUUUCAGCAAAAGUAAGAGAAGAGUUGGGUUUCUGUUCUUGGUAGGAUUUGGAUGUUCUUCGGUUAUACGGUGGCUUCCUUGAUUUCAUGGAUUUGUUUUGUGAUUUUUGAUUAGAUUAGUGUAUGUGAUUUGGCUUUGUUUGGUAGUCUGAGUUUUAUAUUUGGAUGUUCUUCGGUUAUACGGUGUUCAGAAAGCGGAGAGUUUAGUGAAAGAGCCCGGUUUCAAUCCCAGUGGCUGCUCUUGACCUUGAUAAUGAAGAAACUACAAAAGAAGAGUGAGAACGAGAAGAUAGACCCUGAAAUUGUUGUUGUGAAUGUAGAAAAGAAAACAGGAGGAAGAUGAGAAGAAGGGUGAAAGGUCUGGUGCUUCGUGCUCAAGCUCGGAUCUUCCUUGCAUGGAUAAGCUCAGGGAUCAGCUUUCUUGAGAGCAAAAGAUACUCUAAAAGUGCAGGCAAGAAAACAGUGGAGUACAUGGUGGCAUUAGCAGAGAAAACUAAAGACAUGUCCGUGUCUGCAGGAAACUAUGGCAGAGAGAGAGAGAGAGAGAGACUUUUUUUAUCUCUCUUUCAGGUUCUGCACUGCAAUUGAUUCCGGUGCAACCAGUCAAUGAUUUUAUGGAUGCUUCUAAAGUUAGUAAAUUGAUUCAGUAGAAAGGAUACUUCAAAGGGUCUUCUAAUUCAUGGAAUCAUGGACUUGAUGGUGUGGUACACCAUAAUAUCAGAAACAACUAUAUGCAAUAGACUCAAACAGAGGAUUGAGCACAGUGUAAGCUCACUCUCGGAUAAAGCCAAAACAACCACUUUGGAGAAACUGGAAGCUAAUAACAAGACCAGAAGCUAACUUAUAUCCAGCAAAAAGGUGUGGAACAUGAAGCCACUAAAGUCUUACACAAAAGAAAUCUCAAUGUGCUUUUUCAUUGGCUCAAUUUGUUCAGACCAACUUCCAUCAAAGAGUUCUCACACACCAAGUUUCAUUUCAACUUAUUGAUUAACUUCCAUCAAAGAGUUCUCACACACCAAGUUUCAUUUCAACUUAUUGAUUGGGGUCAAGAAAUUUGGGUAAUGUGUACUUGACCUUAAAAGGUAGUUGGUAAGGUGUACUUGACCUUGAAAGGAUUUUGAGUUUGAGAUUCAAUUGGUCAUAAAACAGGUUGAAGUUAUAUCCUAAUUGAAUCUCAAGCUCAUUCCGGUGUAGUUGUCUUUGCACACUCUUUGAGAUCAAAGUACAGCUUUCUCCAAUUUCUCCACCGUAAUCAAUGAAUUCAAAUCAGUUUGCGCAAAGAUUCUACCAAGUAAUGUUAUGGGAUCAACAAUAUUAUUGUCUAUACAAGCAAUUACUCUGCCAAACAAUUUCCACCACUGACAUUAGCUGAAUAAAAUUUGAUUAUCCGAAU